AUGCUGGGUUCCUCCAGGCAGCUUGUGCCUCUCUCCUCCAUCUUCCUUCUGAAUUUCCCCCUUUUCAGAGGCUCCUGCAGCUCUCUGCUGUACCUUCAGCCCCAAAUUGCUGCAGCCCAGUGCAGGUGCCCUAGAAAUGCUCUUUGCUUUGCAAGGGGUGGCUGGGGCUGGGCAAAGCGUGCCAGACCUGCCUGUGAGCACCACAGAUCUGCCUUGGCUCAGAUGCAUACUUCAACCCUGGGGGAGAUGCUUUUCCUCAUCUUUCUCUCUAAAGGAAAUAGAAGAGAACUGGUUUUUCCCACCUCUGUGAAGCUGCAUUCGAAACACAGACCUGGCUUGGCCUCCCCCACCCUCAGGAAAUGGGCUACAGUGAUGCUCGUAACCCAAGUGUAUUUUGUUUCCAGCUCGCCCGGCUGGGAUUUCUCUCCUUUAUUUCGUCGUGGAAAAAUUGAAGCUGCUGGAAAACAGUCUUCCAAGAGGAGGGCCCUUCUGCAAAGCUCAGGGCAUUGCUUGGUCACAGCAUCCACACCAGCAUGCAAAGACCAAAGCAGGUGCCCAGGGCGUGCUGGAAAGCGAGCUGAGGGGAAGGUGAGCUGGGGGAUCUGGGGAGGAUUUCUGCAGCUUUAGCAAAGAGACUCUGAAUUUCUCAGGACAGUACCAGUGGGGCUGUUGGAACAGCUGCUUGGAAGCACUGCAGAAGAGCAGAAACAGUCUUGAACCAGAGCUGGGAGGAAGACUGAACAGGUUCAACACCAGGAUGCGGUGCAAGCCCGUCCUCCCUGAUGACAGUGUUUUUGCUGGGAGGUCACAGCGCCUUGAGAGCAGAAGGCAAAACCUCUCUGGUUUGGUUUUGGCUUCCUUAGGGCUUUGCCAGCAGCACACAAAGAAAUCUCCAUACAGCUCUGCUGCUUUUCCACUCAACAUAACUCUUGUUAGGUCAGGAGCGCUGCGCAUUUCCAAGUGUUGGCCUUUUAUUUAUUAAAUGAUGGCUUUAUUUCCACCCGGCAACGUCUGCCAAAAGCGCUCUCAAUGAAGAGCGGAGAUUAUCCAUAACGCAAAGCGCUCCGCUCGCAAGGCUGUGUGCAAAUGAAAUGAAGUCAGCUCAAUUGGAUGAUUGCUCGAAGCAAUUUAAACCCAAAUACAUCUUGCUCGAGUUACCUCUCUCCUUUCCUCCUCUUGUUUUCCUUUUGGAUGCUGACUUGCACAUUUCAGAGUCAUUAAAAGAGUAAUAAAAAGGGAUGGUUUGGUGUUAGGGGCA
rnacentral:lncRNA from 1 species